GUGGAGAAAAGGGAACCCUCUUGCACUGUUGGUAGGAAUGCAAACUAGUACAGCCACUAUGAAGAACAUCAUGGAGGUUCUUAAAAAACUAAGUAUAGAACUACCAUAUGAUCCAGCAAACCCACUCCUGGGCAUAGA